rnacentral:rRNA from 1 species
CACGUAGGGAGCAAGCGUUGUCCGGAUUUAUUGGGCGUAAAGAGCUCGUAGGCGGCUCGGUAAGUCGGGUGUGAAACCUCCAGGCUCAACCUGGAGACGCCACCUGAUACUGCUGUGGCUAGAGUCCGGUAGGGGAGUGUGGAACUCCUGGUGUAGCGGUGAAAUGCGCAGAUAUCAGGAAGAACACCAGCGGCGAAGGCGGCACUCUGGGCCGGAACUGACGCUGAGGAGCGAAAGCGUGGGUAGCAAACAGG